rnacentral:rRNA from 1 species
AAAUUGAAGAGUUUGAUCAUGGCUCAGAUUGAACGCUGGCGGCAGGCCUAACACAUGCAAGUCGAGCGGUAGCACAGAGAGCUUGCUCUCGGGUGACGAGCGGCGGACGGGUGAGUAAUGUCUGGGAAACUGCCUGAUGGAGGGGGAUAACUACUGGAAACGGUAGCUAAUACCGCAUAAUGUCGCAAGACCAAAGUGGGGGACCUUCGGGCCUCAUGCCAUCAGAUGUGCCCAGAUGGGAUUAGCUAGUAGGUGGGGUAAUGGCUCACCUAGGCGACGAUCCCUAGCUGGUCUGAGAGGAUGACCAGCCACACUGGAACUGAGACACGGUCCAGACUCCUACGGGAGGCAGCAGUGGGGAAUAUUGCACAAUGGGCGCAAGCCUGAUGCAGCCAUGCCGCGUGUGUGAAGAAGGCCUUCGGGUUGUAAAGCACUUUCAGCGGGGAGGAAGGCGUUAAGGUUAAUAACCUUGGCGAUUGACGUUACCCGCAGAAGAAGCACCGGCUAACUCCGUGCCAGCAGCCGCGGUAAUACGGAGGGUGCAAGCGUUAAUCGGAAUUACUGGGCGUAAAGCGCACGCAGGCGGUCUGUCAAGUCGGAUGUGAAAUCCCCGGGCUCAACCUGGGAACUGCAUUCGAAACUGGCAGGCUAGAGUCUUGUAGAGGGGGGUAGAAUUCCAGGUGUAGCGGUGAAAUGCGUAGAGAUCUGGAGGAAUACCGGUGGCGAAGGCGGCCCCCUGGACAAAGACUGACGCUCAGGUGCGAAAGCGUGGGGAGCAAACAGGAUUAGAUACCCUGGUAGUCCACGCCGUAAACGAUGUCGAUUUGGAGGUUGUGCCCUUGAGGUGUGGCUUCCGGAGCUAACGCGUUAAAUCGACCGCCUGGGGAGUACGGCCGCAAGGUUAAAACUCAAAUGAAUUGACGGGGGCCCGCACAAGCGGUGGAGCAUGUGGUUUAAUUCGAUGCAACGCGAAGAACCUUACCUGGUCUUGACAUCCACAGAACUUUCCAGAGAUGGAUUGGUGCCUUCGGGAACUGUGAGACAGGUGCUGCAUGGCUGUCGUCAGCUCGUGUUGUGAAAUGUUGGGUUAAGUCCCGCAACGAGCGCAACCCUUAUCCUUUGUUGCCAGCGGUCCGGCCGGGAACUCAAAGGAGACUGCCAGUGAUAAACUGGAGGAAGGUGGGGAUGACGUCAAGUCAUCAUGGCCCUUACGACCAGGGCUACACACGUGCUACAAUGGCAUAUACAAAGAGAAGCGACCUCGCGAGAGCAAGCGGACCUCAUAAAGUAUGUCGUAGUCCGGAUUGGAGUCUGCAACUCGACUCCAUGAAGUCGGAAUCGCUAGUAAUCGUAGAUCAGAAUGCUACGGUGAAUACGUUCCCGGGCCUUGUACACACCGCCCGUCACACCAUGGGAGUGGGUUGCAAAAGAAGUAGGUAGCUUAACCUUCGGGAGGGCGCUUACCACUUUGUGAUUCAUGACUGGGGUGAAGUCGUAACAAGGUAACCGUAGGGGAACCUGCGGUUGGAUCACCUCCUUA